CGCGGUUAAUUUCUCCUUUACUCGAUUUUCAUGUUACGAAUUCUACGUAAGAAAAAAUCCAAUUUGCGAUAUAACAUCCAUGAUGAACGGAACUUGACUUUUGAACUGAUACGAAACCAACGGAGUCGAUCAAAUUUCAUUCUCGUGUUAUUACUCACAACGGAAAAGUUAAAUUUCUUGAAAAUAAACUCGCGAAAAUAAACUUGAAAAACGUAGGGUACGGGAUUGGUCGCGUAGGUAAAGCGGGGUCGACUGUGGAUCCGAGGAUCGUGGCUUCGAAUCCCCGUGCCUUAUUUUUCGUUUAGACUUCUACAUAUGGGGGCUCGUCCGGGGUGGGGGGUUACAGCGGCAACUACACCGAAGAGGACCGGCCAGUGACGAUGAGUCACGAUGAACAACAAUGCCACGCGAAGGACGGUGGAGCGGGCAACAAUGAGGCGUUGAGAGAGAACACCGUUCCAGAAAGAGAGAGGGGAGUACACUCGCGAAAGAGGGUGCGGCGCGCACUGCUGUUGAGACGCAAAACCCGAGAGAGAAAGAGAGAGGGGAGUACACUCGCGAAAGAGGGCGCGGCGCGCACUGUUGUUGAGACGCGAAACCCGAGAAAACGGACAUUCGAGGGCGAAUGAAUGUCAAUUCAGAAUAGCCGAGUGUAGUAUCCGCGCCUCCCAUACCCAACAAUAAGGAGUCAAAUAAGAACACGAAACGUAGGGUACGGGAUUGGUCGCGUAGGUAAAGCGGUCGACUGUGGAUCCGAGGAUCGUGGGUUCGAAUCACCGUGCCUUAUUUUUCGGUUAGACUCCUACAAUUUAAUGGUUUUACAAUGAAAAUAGUUGUUUACUCCCAAACCAAUUCACGAAACUCGCGUUAUUUUUCUCCGAGUGCAAAUGUAUUCGUGACUAAACCAAUUACCAGUAGCUUUGACGUAAGAACCAGCCAGUGUGCUUGGAUUGCUAAAUUUAGAGCGAAGGUGGAAAUUCAGCUGGAACGAGCCUUUUCGCCGCUUUAUAGAAAAGGAAAUAUCGAUUAAGGGCUUGUACGUGCCGGUCGUUACACGGUAAUUAAAACACGUGUAACGCCGAGGUUCAAGAUAAUUAGCAAAUGCGCAAUCGAAUCAAAAGGGCGACUACCGCUGAGGCAAAUUGGCUGCAAUGCGAACAACAGGCGGACACCAUAAUUACAAGGUUCAUUAAAUCGUAUUCGAUGGCGAUUGUGCUGUUCACCGAAUCACAUGUGGUAACGCUAAUUUCAAUUCGAAUGAGAUCAAAACAACUGCUGCUAUAUUUUUUUUAACGAGCACGUUCCUAUUUUAGUGGAGUUCGGAAAUUGUUAGCGUGCCAUUUUUACAACACCUUAUACAUAUACCUUAUACAUAUUCGACAACUUCUUUAAUUAUCGGUUCCUCUACAGUAUGAAUCAGUAGUGCGGUAUGAAUUUUCAAACGUACUGUGAAAUCAAAGUUACGAUAGAAGAAAUCGAAGUAUAUACUUUCCUUGCGAAUAAAUGAUCAGAUACCUAUACUUUAUAUGAAAUAUCUAUAGAUAUGUGAUUCAAUGGAUUUUUUUUUUACUAAUCUGUAUAGACAAUAUGAAAUAUCAUAAUUUUGGUUUUUAUCGACAGCGAGAGAAAUAAUUGGUUUCGUUAACCGUGUAAUUCCAUACGGAACACUGUACGUACACUAUUGUAUUCGUUAUUUUCAGUUCUCGAUAGCUAUUAAUUACAAUUAAACGUAAAAUUCUGUUCUUGCAUGGGAUUGUAUUGCAACGCACAUUUCAAGUCACAAUGGUAAACGAAAUUUAUUUGAUUUUUCCUUUGUACGCAGUGGUGGAAAUUUUUCAAUCGGUAAUCUGUAAAUAAUAAAUACACUAGCUUUUACAUCAAGCAGUACUUGUGAAGUACACGUGAAUCACUAUAGAGCACUAUUUUUUUAUCAACUUAAAUUCCUGUACAGAGUCUUACCAAACAUGUAAUCUUUUCAAGAUACAUUCUUCUUUGCAAUUUGAAUUAAAUCAUUGUUUCAUUAUGCUGUCCAAGGUUUUAUCGUCAACAUACGAGUAGUUAUAGUUGUCCCCGGCACGAAAGCAUGCGCGGACAGAAUAUGAAAUGGCGAGUGUCAAGAAUCACGUCAAUAAAUUGAAUCAUUUAUAGCCAUCUGACGAAGCGUUACAUCGCGAAACAGUAAAAUACGUUUCAAUUUAUUUUCACACGAGGAACCAUUCAUUAAUAAAACAAUUAACUGCGCGAGAUUGAAAGCUGCUCUCCUAAUUCGUAAACAUUAUUUUCCGAUCGGAUUUCAAAAAUUCUUAGAGAUCAGUAUUGUGCGAUGACACUAAAUAGCUUUCGUAUGACCUUCGUCAAGUAGAAAUUAGAUUCGCUCCAAACGUUGAGAUAAAACCAGUACCUCUACGAUCGUCCGCUAGCGGAGAUUCCACUACGAUCACGUUGCAUAACACACGAUGACGAGUGUCCUCCAUCGCCGUUCCGUCUGCCGUUUAGAAUACUCAUUCAAUAUUAAUUCGACGGGAGAUUGUCUGCGCGAACGCAUAUGUACCGCGAAGGUAAAUCCUGUACCUUGCAAUCCCGAGAGGAUUUAACAGCAAAUCGACGCUGUUAGCUCGCGGCAAAAUUGCCUUGAUCUAAACGGUGUCUAAUCCCUUGAGUGUGAAUGUUGUUUAGGUGUUAGUUUCGUGGCAAAAAGAAAGCACUCAUCGUUCGAUUAAACUCGAUCCUUGCGCGAACAACCGAAACGGCGGAGUGUGUUUACUGCUUCGCUGCUUAAGUAUUUGUUGUCGUUACGAAUUAGAAACUAACUUAUUCUAACCCUUAAAUGCCCAAAGUUUCAAAUUCGAUUCCGGUCUUUUAAAUCGAAUUGUACAAUUGCUUUGCUUUUAAUAUUUGCCUGUAUGUAUGUAUCAAAAUUGAUACCUGGUUUAUUUUUUAAAUAAAAAUAUAAAAUACGUA